GAUGAACGCUGGCGGCGUGCUUAACACAUGCAAGUCGAAUGAUGAAGCCCAGCUUGCUGGGUGGAUUAGUGGCGAACGGGUGAGUAACACGUGAGUAACCUGCCCUUAACUCUGGGAUAAGCCUGGGAAACUGGGUCUAAUACCGGAUAGGAGCGUCCACCGCAUGGUGGGUGUUGGAAAGAUUUAUCGGUUUUGGAUGGACUCGCGGCCUAUCAGCUUGUUGGUGAGGUAAUGGCUCACCAAGGCGACGACGGGUAGCCGGCCUGAGAGGGUGACCGGCCACACUGGGACUGAGACACGGCCCAGACUCCUACGGGAGGCAGCAGUGGGGAAUAUUGCACAAUGGGCGAAAGCCUGAUGCAGCGACGCCGCGUGAGGGAUGACGGCCUUCGGGUUGUAAACCUCUUUCAGUAGGGAAGAAGCGAAAGUGACGGUACCUGCAGAAGAAGCACCGGCUAACUACGUG
rnacentral:rRNA from 1 species